ACGCUCAUGGACGUAGCAUGGUUCUCUUAUUCCUACUGCAGUUAGCGUCUACCAAAACAAGUAAACAAUGUCGGUUAUUUUUCAGUUUAACUUUAGUCAGUCACAGACCAAAACCCUGGAGGUGACUGGCAAACAAACAGCAAAGACACGGACAUACAGACCGAGAGGUGCGCUGCUCAGAAGAAAUAAUAUGAUGGAAGCGACAGUGGACUUUUUAACAACAGAGAUGGACACAUAAUCAUUCCCAAGUGACCAACAUCGUGCUAGAGGGUGUGGGCCCUUAGGAGUGUCGCUACGAGCCACACAGCAAACUACCCCGUCCCCGACAAACAACAAGUGAACCAGAGAUCUCCCCCUGUCCCAAUG